CGACCGGCGCACGGGUGAGUAACACGUAUGCAACCUGCCCUCUUCAGGGGGACAACCUUCCGAAAGGGAGGCUAAUCCCGCGUAUAUCGGUUUCGGGCAUCCGAGAUCGAGGAAAGAUUCAUCGGAAGAGGAUGGGCAUGCGGCGCAUUAGCUAGACGGCGGGGUAACGGCCCACCGUGGCGACGAUGCGUAGGGGUUCUGAGAGGAAGGUCCCCCACACUGGUACUGAGACACGGACCAGACUCCUACGGGAGGCAGCAG
rnacentral:rRNA from 1 species